rnacentral:rRNA from 1 species
CACGUAGUUAGCCGUGGCUUCCUCCUCGGCUACCGUCUCGUUUCGUCACCGAAGACAGAGGUUUACAAUCCGAAAACCUUCUUCCCUCACGCGGCGUCGCUGCAUCAGAGUUCCUUCCAUUGUGCAAUAUCCCCCACUGCUGCCUCCCGUAGGAGUCUGGGCCGUGUCUCAGUCCCAAUGUGGCCGUUCAACCUCUCAGUCCGGCUACCGAUCGUCGACUUGGUGGGCCGUUACCCCGCCAACUAUCUAAUCGGACGCGAGCCCAUCCUAUAGCGGAUUGCUCCUUUGGCGCCAAAGGGAUGUCCCCCCAGCCGCGUUAUGCGGUAUUAGCGUUCGUUUCCAAACGUUAUCCCCCUCUAUAGGGCAGGUUGCUCACGUGUACUCACCCGUCGCACUAGUCAGGGGCAAGCCCCUUCCUCGUCACUUGCAUGUGUUAGGCGCGCCGCCAGCGUUCGUCCUGAGCCUAGGACUCAAACUCU